rnacentral:lncRNA from 1 species
GUGGUCACAGACCAGUGUUUGGCUUGCAUUUGGGGCAGCUGGAAUUUCUGGGGGCCCCAGGAGCAACUCAGUCAGUGAGGGAUGGGAGUUGGUGACAGAUACCUCAGUUCUAGUCCCAGGUAUCAUCAUAUCUCAGGAGGGUCCCUAGUGGGAUUGAGCCCAGUUGCCCAAGGUGGUUGCCUGCACCCCCUUUUUGCUUCCUUUCCUUGGCUGUCGCAUUUCCUCACGCCCUCCUAAGCCCUCCUAAGCCCUCCUGGGAUCACAUUACAAAUAAAUGGCUUGCACCUGAAUCUGUAUUAUCAUCUGUUCCCAGCGCAGUCCAGCCGAAAGUGACCCUUGGGAUUCUGCUUCCAUGGACUACCUGGCUGGCAGCUUCUGGUCAGUGGUACUGCUCAACACCUGCUGAUCACACAGCUGGAGGACUUGCUAUGCAUUUUGCUGGCAGCUGGGACACUUGCCCAAUUCAAGGUGAAGCAGGAGAGAGCUCCUUUGUCAAUUAGGACCUGCGUGCUGCAUCUUAGUCCAAAGCUUGACUUCCUUGACUGCCUUCUCCCAUCAAGGCUGUGGAUGUCACCAAGUAAGUAUGCAGACUGCCCUUUAAUUUUUAUCAUAGUGCUUAUUGCAAUUUGUAAUAUUUGUGUAAUUAUUUGAUUGCCAGCUGUCUUCUCCAAGUCCCUUGAGCGCCAGGACAGUAGAGACUGGGCCUAUUUUGUGUGCCCAUGUUAUGCUUUGCAUUCAGGCUGGAGACUAGCUCACAGGAAGUGGUCCACAAUAUUGGUGAAUGAAUGAAUGAAUGAAUGAAUGAACUCUGCCUCUCACUAGCCUAGUUAUGAUCUCCUCCAUUCUAUGAUCUUUGUAGAUUAAUUUCUUUUCUAAUUUGUUUUUUGGUGGACCCUCUGGGUUCUAGCUGAAGCAAGUGUCAACAUUUUUGGGUUCCAUUAGCUAGGCAGACUUUGAAAAUCG